UCUGUGGGCAGAUGGACCACAGGAAUCAGGUCCUGCCUUUGCUGUCUGAGUUCUUCUGUAGGUGUAAAUUGGACCCUCAGCACCUUAGUUUCCCUGUGUUGGGAAAACUGGACAACCAGCCUCUGUCCAUGGGAACAGCAACAGUGAACAGCAGUGGCCG